CCUACGGGAGGCAGCAGUGAGGAAUAUUGGUCAAUGGGCGCGAGCCUGAACCAGCCAAGUAGCGUGAAGGAUGACUGCCCUACGGGUUGUAAACUUCUUUUAUAAAGGAAUAAAGUGAGGCACGUGUGCCUUUUUGUAUGUACUUUAUGAAUAAGGAUCGGCUAACUCCGUGCCAGCAGCCGCGGUAAUACGGAGGAUCCGAGCGUUAUCCGGAUUUAUUGGGUUUAAAGGGAGCGUAGAUGGGUUGUUAAGUCAGGUGUGAAAGUUGGCGGCGCAACCGUAAAAUUGCAAUUGAGACUGGCAGCCUUGAGUGCAGUUGAGGUAGGCGGAAUGCGUGGUGUAGCGGUGAAAUGCUUAGAUAGCACGAAGAACUCCGAUUGCGAAGGCAGCUUACUAAACUGCCACUGACAUUGAUGCUCGAAAGUGUGGGUAUCAAACAGGAUUAGAUACCCUAGUAGUC
rnacentral:rRNA from 1 species